rnacentral:rRNA from 1 species
GACAGAGGGUGCAAACGUUGUUCGGAAUUACUGGGCGUAAAGCGCGUGUAGGUGGCGAGGCAAGUCGGGUGUGAAAGCCCUGGGCUCAACCCAGGAAGUGCACUCGAUACUGCCUAGCUAGAGUCCCGGAGAGGUUGGUGGAAUUCUCGGUGUAGAGGUGAAAUUCGUAGAUAUCGAGAAGAACACCGGUGGCGAAGGCGGCCAACUGGACGGUGACUGACACUGAGACGCGAAAGCGUGGGGAGCAAACAGG